rnacentral:rRNA from 1 species
AGUUUGAUCCUGGCUCAGGAUGAACGCUAGCGGCAGGCUUAAUACAUGCAAGUCGUGGGGCAGCAGGUUUGUAGCAAUACAGAUGCUGGCGACCGGCAAACGGGUGCGGAACACGUACAGAACCUUCCUUUGAGCGGGGAAUAGCCCAGAGAAAUUUGGAUUAGUACCCCAUAGUAUAAUGAAGUGGCAUCACUUUAUUAUUAAAGAUUUAUCACUCGAAGAUGGCUGUGCGGCUGAUUAGGUAGUUGGCGGGGUAAAGGCCCACCAAGCCUGCGAUCAGUAACUGGUGUGAGAGCACGACCAGUCACACGGGCACUGAGACACGGGCCCGACUCCUACGGGAGGCAGCAGUAAGGAAUAUUGGUCAAUGGAGGCAACUCUGAACCAGCCAUGCCGCGUGGAGGAUGAAGGUCCUCUGGAUUGUAAACUUCUUUUAUAUGGGACGAAAAAAGGCUUUUCUAAGUCGUCUGACGGUACCAUAUGAAUAAGCACCGGCUAACUCCGUG